GAUAUUUCUGUGAGUGAAUCACCUCCCAGAAACAAGGUGUUGGACAAACAGGAUAGUUCAAUUGAACAGGAUGAUUCAAGGCCAAGGAAAAUUGGGAGAAAGGAAAGAAUGCUUGAUUUGAAAAAAAGGAUGAGUGAGAAAUUUGAAGAAAAGAAGCGGAACUUUGAAGAAAAGGGUAGGAACAUUGUUGAGAAGAUGCGAGGACCAUGAGAAAUUUGAAGAAAAGAAGCGGAACUUUGAAGAAAAGGGUAGGAACAUUGUUGAGAAGAUGCGAGGACCAUGAGAAAUAUAGACAAAGUAAAUGCCAGAAUGCUUAGAUAUUUGUUACUGAUUUUUUUACCAUAUCAGAAAUUAGU
rnacentral:lncRNA from 1 species